rnacentral:rRNA from 1 species
UACGAGAGGCCCAAACGUUAUUCGGAAUUACUGGGCUUAAAGAGUUCGUAGGCGGCGCAGAAAGUAGGGUGUGAAAGCCCUCGGCUUAACCGAGGAAUUGCGCUCUAAACUACUGUGCUUGAGGAACCUAGAGGUGAGCAGAACAGAUGGUGGAGCGGUGAAAUGCGUUGAUAUCAUCUGGAACACCAGAGGCGAAGGCGGCCUACUGGGCUGCACCUGACGCUGAACCGCGAAAGCCAGGGGAGCGAACGGG